AUGCACGCUGGCGGCGUGCCUAAUCCAUGCAAGUCGAGCGAACAGACGAGGAGCUUGCUCCUCUGACGUUAGCGGCGGACGGGUGAGUAACACGUGGAUAACCUACCUAUAAGACUGGGAUAACUUCGGGAAACCGGAGCUAAUACCGGAUAAUAUAUUGAACCGCCUGGUUCAAUAGUGAAAGACGGUUUUGCUGUCACUUAUAGAUGGAUCCGCGCCGCAUUAGCUAGUUGGUAAGGUAACGGCUUACCAAGGCAACGAUGCGUAGCCGACCUGAGAGGGUGAUCGGCCACACUGGAACUGAGACACGGUCCAGACUCCUACGGGAGGCAGCAGUAGGGAAUCUUCCGCAAUGGGCGAAAGCCUGACGGAGCAACGCCGCGUGAGUGAUGAAGGUCUUCGGAUCGUAAAACUCUGUUAUUAGGGAAGAACAAAUGUGUAAGUAACUAUGCACGUCUUGACGGUACCUAAUCAGAAAGCCACGGCUAACUACGUG
rnacentral:rRNA from 1 species